UGGAGGUCUUCUUGGUUCACGGUGGCUCCUAGGCAGCUGGGCGGCUUGGGUUCUUGGAGAGGAAGGGGAGGAGAGCUGGUAGCAAGCCUGAAUGGUCCCCUUUGCUAAGCAGGAUCCAUCCUGGUUUACAUCGGAAGGGGAGACUACAUCAUGUGAGCCCUGUAAGAUAUUCCCCCCUCAGGGGAUGGAGGGGCCGCUCCGGGAAGUGCAUCUGCAGGCUUGCAUGCAGAAGGUUCCAGAUUCCCUCCCUGGCAGCAUCUCCAAGAUCGGGCUGAGAGAGGCUCCUGCCUGCAAUCUUGGAGAAGCCGCUGCCCGUCCAAGGAGACAAUCUGGAGCUAGAUGGACCAAGGGUCUGACUCAGUAUAUGGCAGCUUCCAGGGUGUGUGGCGCCAUGGAUAUAAAGAGCCAAGCUGACCAAGGAAAGAAACUACUAGCCAGAGCAGCCAGGGACUGUGGAAGCCACGGAGGGACAGCAGCAUCCCGCUGAGAAGGCAAAGCAUUGAGGACCUUCCUGUAUUCCUCGGUAACCACUGGAAAAGCAUUCAAGACUCUACAAAAAUGGAUUGCGAGAACGCCUGACCUGAGAAAUUGACACAAGAUUGAGCGGAGGUGAAUGCACUGUUUAACGAGAAGAAGGCAGAUCACCAAAGACGGCGGAAGUCCUGUGAUGAGGUUGGGAGGUCGGGAGAAGCUAAGAAGAAGGAGAGAAGAGACUCUACAGUGGGAGAACCACUUUGGGAAGAGCAGGAUCAGCCCCUUUAUCAUUUCGGUUUGCCUCUUCUGCUGCAGCUUCUUCAGUUCGACAGUAUGGCUUUUUUGGUAAUCUGG